AGUGAACGCUGGCGGUAGGCCUAACACAUGCAAGUCGAACGGCAACACAGUAAGAGCUUGCUCUUACGGGUGGCGAGUGGCGGACGGGUGAGGAAUACAUCGGAAUCUACUUUUUCGCGGGGGAUAACGUAGGGAAACUUACGCUAAUACCGCAUACGACCUACGGGUGAAAGCAGGGGAUCUUCGGACCUUGCGCGAUUGAAUGAGCCGAUGUCGGAUUAGCUAGUUGGCGGGGUAAAGGCCCACCAAGGCGACGAUCCGUAGCUGGUCUGAGAGGAUGAUCAGCCACACUGGAACUGAGACACGGUCCAGACUCCUACGGGAGGCAGCAGUGGGGAAUAUUGGACAAUGGGCGCAAGCCUGAUCCAGCCAUACCGCGUGGGUGAAGAAGGCCUUCGGGUUGUAAAGCCCUUUUGUUGGGAAAGAAAAGCAGCAGGUUAAUACCCCGCUGUUCUGACGGUACCCAAAGAAUAAGCACCGGCUAACUUCGUG
rnacentral:rRNA from 1 species